rnacentral:misc_RNA from 1 species
AAGUCGUAACAAGGUUUCCGUAGGUGAACCUGCGGAAGGAUCAUUAUUGAAUAAAACUUGGUUUAGAUUGUUGCUGGCUUUUCGGAGCAUGUGCACAUCUAUUCCAUUUUUUUAAAUCCCCUGUGCACUCUAUGUAGACCGAAACACUUUUCAAGAGGGGAAACUAUCUUGAUCUGAGGAUUGUUGUUAAAAUACAGCUUUCCUUGCACGUUUCAGUGUCUAUGUCUUUACUAUUAUACCCUUUGUUAAAACAUAUUAGAAUGUGUUAUAUAGGCCCUUGUGCCUUUUAAAUGAAAUACAACUUUCAACAACGGAUCUCUUGGCUCUC